GGAGGCGUGUCUGAGUGGCUUAAAGAAGCGGUUUGCUAAACCGUUGUACGGGUAAAACCGUACCGAAGGUUCGAAUCCUUCCGCCUCCG
rnacentral:tRNA from 2 species